CCUACGGGAGGCAGCAGUAGGGAAUAUUGCUCAAUGGGGGAAACCCUGAAGCAGCAACGCCGCGUGGAGGAUGAAGGUUUUCGGAUUGUAAACCCCUUUUGUUAGAGAAGAUAAUGACGGUAUCUAACGAAUAAGCACCGGCUAACUCCGUGCCAGCAGCCGCGGUAAUACGGAGGGUGCAAGCGUUACUCGGAAUCACUGGGCGUAAAGAGCGCGUAGGCGGGAUAGCAAGUCAGAUGUGAAAGCCUAUGGGUUAACCAUAGAACUGCAUUUGAAACUGUUAUUCUAGAGUAUGGGAGAGGGAGGUGGAAUUCUUGGUGUAGGGGUGAAAUCCGUAGAGAUCAAGAGGAAUACUCAGGGCGAAGGCGACCUGCUAGAGCAUAACUGACGCUGAUGCGCGAAAGCGUGGGGAGCAAACAGGAUUAGAUACCCUUGUAGUC
rnacentral:rRNA from 1 species